rnacentral:rRNA from 1 species
GACAGAGGGUGCAAACGUUGUUCGGAAUUACUGGGCGUAAAGCGCGUGUAGGCGGCCAUGCAGGUCGGAUGUGAAAGCCCUCGGCUCAACCGGGGAAGUGCACUCGAAACUGCAAGGCUAGAGUCUCGGAGAGGAUCGUGGAAUUCUCGGUGUAGAGGUGAAAUUCGUAGAUAUCGAGAGGAACACCGGUGGCGAAGGCGGCGAUCUGGACGAUGACUGACGCUGAGGCGCGAAAGCGUGGGGAGCAAACAGG